rnacentral:tRNA from 1 species
GGUCGAUUAGCUCAGUGGUAGAGCGCUUGCUUCACACGCAAGAUGUCACUGGUUCAAACCCAGUAUCGACCACCA